AUGACAAGAUCCCAAUUAAAAAAUAUUUUGUCUCAUAGAUUCAUGCGACAAUGUAACUUUUUUAGUUCAUUGCAACACACAAACUUACAGCGCCGUAAUUUAAAUUUCUUGAUUACUUUUAUAACUAUUUUUAUCUGCAUUUUAACUUUUAAAAGCCUGAAGUUUCCUUUACUUAGCUUAACGUGUGUCUGCUUUAAACCACACAUCCACAUUCUCACUUCUGAGUUGAGUGAGUUUCUAAAUUUAAGUUCUAAACACCGUGUCUGGAAUGCCAGUGCAAUUCCAAUGCCAUUUAUUCCACAGGGAAAGCCCAGGGAGGGGAUGCUCCUUUCCCUGACCAGGAGAGCUGCAGGCUCUGGGUCUGCACUCAAGGCCAGGUCACUGCUGUGGAUUCAAACACGGAUUGCUCUUGGCCAUGUCACGCUGGGUUAUGCAGAGCUGCUGCACUUUCCAUUUAUAGUGUAUUUUGGAGUUUCAGAACAAAUUACAGCUGCUUCUUUUCUAUCAGACCCCUGUGUCCUGGCUUAGCCUGCUCCCCUCUCCUCAAAGCCUGGGUACAAAUCACCCGGUGAUCCUGACUGCUAAUGAAACCUGGAUUAAAUUAGCGUGCCGCUCAGUUGUCAGUGUUCUCAGUGGGUUUAUCUCCCUGUGGGAUCUCAG
rnacentral:lncRNA from 1 species